GUACUGGAGCUGGGAGGUUUCUGAUGAAGAACAGCCAAUGGUGUAUGUUUCAGGAGUGUCUACAAAAGGAAAUUUAAGAACAAGGUAUUUGUCAAAGAGUCAAAAAAGUGAAACUGAGCUAAAGGUGCCUGUAGCUGUUGCUUUUGUUUCUAUGGAUCCUGUUAGAAGCACAGGAGAUCUGACAGGG